rnacentral:rRNA from 1 species
AGCAUAUAAUUAACCGAAGGAAAAGAAACUAACUAGGAUUCCCUCAGUAAGGGCGACUGAACCGGGAAAAGAUCAUCUUGUGAAUCUGUACAGGCUUGUCCUGUACCGAGUUGUGAUGUAAAGACGCAAAAUCAGUGGGGGUUCUGGACUAAGUCCCUUGGAAAAGGGCAGCAGAGAGGGUGAGACUCCCGUUCUUGUCUAGGACUUGUCACUAUGGUAUUUGUUGUCAACGAGUCGAGUUGCUUGGGAUUGCAGCUCAAAGUGGGAUGUAAAUUCAUUCUAAAUCUAAAUAUUGGUGGGAGACCGAUAGUGUACAAGUACCGUGAGGGAAAGAUGCAAAGAACUUUGAAAAGAGAGUUAAAGAGUACCUGAAAUUGCUGAAAGGGAAGCAAAGGAAACCAGUGCUUUGCCUACUAUUUUUCUCUUGCUGCUUGCAGCUAGGGCGCUGUGGUAGGUUUUAGGCCAGCAUGGGUUUGGCUUGAGACAAAUGGCUCUUCAGGAGGUAGGUCCCUCGGGACUGUUAGACUGUUGAGUUUUGUCUUUGGCUGGAUCGAGGCUAGUCACUAUGUGCAUGUGAUGCUGGCAAAAUGGUUUUCUUUACCCCGUCUUGAAACCGGGACC